rnacentral:rRNA from 1 species
GUUACAUUUAUUAUUUACUCGCUUGUUACUAUUGCUAUUUCAUUUAAACAUUUACAACCUUUAGAAUUGAUAAACACUAGAUUUAAUUGUUCCCUACCUCCUUGUGGAUUCGAUCCCUAAGUACUACAUCUGAACCUCUUUUGAUGAGAGUAACACUCCUUAGGGUAAUUUUAGUGGUAUCAGUAUUUCAUAGUCAGAGGUGAUGUUCUUGGAUUAAUGAAAGACGAACAACUGCAAAAGCAUUUGCCAAGGUUGUUUUCAUUAAUCAAGAAUGAAAGUUGGGGGCUCGAAGACGAUCAGAUAUCGUCCUAGUCUCAACCAUAAACGAUGCCGACCAGGGAUAAGCGGAUGUUGCUUUUAGGACUCCGCUGGCACCUUAGAAGAAAUCAAUGUUUUUGGGUUCCGGAGGGAGUAUGGUCGCAAGGCUGAAACUUAAAGGAAUUGACGGAAGGGCACCACCAGGAGUGGAUCCUGCGGCUUAAUUUGACUCAACACGGGGAAACUUAACAGGUCCAGACAUAGUAAGGAUUGACAAACUGAGAGCUCUUUCUUGAUUCUACGGGUGGUGGUGCAUGGUCGUUCUUAGUUGGUGGAGCGAUUUGUCUGGUUAAUUCCGUUAACGAACGAGACCUCAGCCUGAUAACUAGCUACGUGGAGGCAUCCCUUUACGGCCGGCUUCUUAGAGGGACUAUGGCCGUUUAGGCCAACAAAAGUUUUAGGCAAUAACAGGUCUGUGAUGCCCUUAGAUGUUCUGGGCUGCACGCGCGCUACACUGAUGUAUUCAACGAUUUUACACCUUGGCCGACAGGCCUGGGUAAUCUUUGAAAUUUCACCGUGAUGGGGAUAGAUCAUUGCAAUUUUUGGUCUUCAACGAGGAAUUCCUAGUAAGCGCGAGUCAUCAGCUCGCGUUGACUACUUCCCUGCCCUUUGUACACACCGCCCGUCGCUCCUACCGAUUGAAUGAUCCGGUGAUCCGUCUGCGACGUCGCGAGAAGUCCACUAAACCUUAUCAUUUAGAGGAAGGAGAAGUCGUAACAAGGUUUUCGUAGGUGAACCUGCAGAAG